rnacentral:rRNA from 1 species
AAUAAAAGCUUACGGGCAAUUAGUACUACUCGGCUUUGCUAUUACUAGCUUUACACCUAUAGCCUAUCAACGUAGUCGUCUACUACGACCCUUAAAAGUAAACUCAUCUUGAAGAAGGUUUCGCGCUUAGAUGCUUUCAGCGCUUAUCCUUGCCGUACAUAGCUACUCUGCACUGCACCUGGCGGCACAACAGAUACACCAGCGGUACGUACGCUCCGGUCCUCUCGUACUAAGAGCAUGUCUUCUCAAUUUACUAACGCCCACCACAGAUAGAGACCGAACUGUCUUGCGACGUUCUGAACCCAGUUCACGUGCCACUUUAAUCGGCGAACAGCCGAACCCUUGGGACCUUCUCCAGCCCCAGGAUGUGACGAACCGACAUCGAGGUGCCAAACCUCCCCGUCGAUAUGAGCUCUUGGGGGAGAUCAGCCUGUUAUCCCCGGAGUACCUUUUAUCCUUUGAGCGAUGGCCCUUCCAUGCGGAACCACCGGAUCACUUUAGCCUGCUUUCGCACCUGCUCGACUUGUCAGUCUCACAGUCAAGCGCCCUUAUACUAAUACGCUCUACGCAUGAUUACCAACCAUGCUGAGGGCACCUUUGCGAGCCUCCGUUACUUUUUAGGAGGCGACCACCCCAGUCAAACUACCCACCAUGCAAUGUCUCCCGUUAGGGAUUAGACUCUAAGUAACAGAAGGUUGGUAUUUCAACGACCGCUCCACCACACCUGGCGGCAUGGCUUCGUAGCGUCCCAACUAUUCUACACAUCUGUUACUCAAAAUCAAUGCAAAGCUGUAGUGAAGGUUCACGGGGUCUUUUCGUCCCGUGGCGGGUAACCGGCAUCUUCACCGAUACUACAAUUUCACCGGGCUCACGGAGGAGACAGUGUUCAACUCAUUAGACCAUUCGUGCAGGUCGGAACUUACCCGACAAGGAAUUUCGCUACCUUAGGACCGUUAUAGUUACGGCCGCCGUUUACUGGGGCUUCAGUCGAAAGCUUUGGCUUGCGCCGAACAUCCUUCCUUAACCUUCCAGCACCGGGCAGGUAUCAGGCUCUAUACGUCAUCUUACGAUUUUGCAGGGCCCUGUGUUUUUGCUAAACAGUUGGUUGAACCAAUUUACUGAGACCGUCAAAGACGGUACGCUUUAUCCCGAAGUUACAGCGUUAAUUUGCCUAGUUCCUUCUCCGUGGCUCACCCGAGCGCCUUAGAAUACUCAUCUCGACUACCUGUGUCGGUUUACGGUACGGGCAGUUUUAGCCUAGCCUUAGAGGUUUUUCUUGGAGGUUUGAUUAGAGUCACUAUCUACGUUGCCGAAGCAUUGCAGUACUAUCAGGUUCGACAAGUCGUGCGGAUUUACCUACACAACCUAUAUCUACACCCUUUAACCGUGUAUUCCGUAACACGGCGGACUUUUCACUACCCCGUCACCCCAUCGAAACUAAAACUGGUGUUAGAAUAUUAACUAACUUGCCAUCAGCUACCCCUUUCGGGUUUGCCUAAGGACCCGACUAACCCUGAUCUGAUUAACAUUGAUCAGGAACCCUUAGUCUUACGGCGAUAAAGUUUUUCACUUUAUUUAUCGUUACUUAUGCCUACAUUUUCUUUUCUAAACGCUCCAGCAUUGGUCACCCAACACCUUCGACGCUGUUUAGAAUGCUCCCCUACCGAUCUUACGAUCUUAUAGCUUCGGCUGUAUGUUUGAUACCCGAUUAUUUUCCGUGCUCGAACCCUCGACCAGUGAGCUGUUACGCACUCUUUAAAUGAAUGGCUGCUUCCAAGCCAACAUCCUGGCUGUCAUAGGAUUCGAACUUCGUUUGAUUAACUUAACAUACGAUUGGGGGCCUUAGCUGAUAAUCUGGGUUAUUUCCCUCUCGGCCACGGACCUUAGCGCCCGCAGCCUCACUGCCAGUAAUAUAUGAUAGCAUUCGGAGUUUGUCAGGGUUUGGUAGGUUUUGACACCCCCUAGCCCAAUCAGUAGCUCUACCUCUAUCAUACAAAUAACCUGACGCUGUUCCUAAAAACAUUUCGGGGAGAACGAGCUAUCUCUCAGUUUGAUUGGCCUUUCACCCCUAUCCACAGGUCAUCCCAUAACUUUUCAACGUUAAUGGGUUCGGUCCUCCAUUCCGGGUUAACGGAACUUCAACCUGCCCAUGGAUAGAUCACAAAGUUUCGCGUCUACCCCCACUGACUAUUCGCCCUAUUUGGACUCGCUUUCGCUACGGCUCCGUUAUUUAAGAACUUAACCUUGCCAGUGAGGAGUAACUCGUAGGCUCAUUAUGCAAAAGGCACGCCGUCACCAUAAAUGGCUCCGACCGCUUGUAGGUGUACGGUUUCAGGUACUAUUUCACUCUCCUGUUCGGAGUACUUUUCACCUUUCCCUUACGGUACUGGUUCACUAUCGGUAUCUAAUGAGUAUUUAGCCUUACCGGAUGGUACCGGCAGAUUCACACAGGAUUUCUCUGGUCCCGCGCUACUCAGGAUACUACUGACUUGUAACAAUUUGUGCAUACGGGUCUUUCACCCUCUAUGGAUCAACUUUCCAGAAGAUUUUGCUUGAUGUUACUCAUCGUAUGUAGUCCUACAACCCUCAAGAGGCACGCCUCUCAAGUUUGGGCUCUUCCCUCUUCGCUCGCCACUACUAGGGGAAUCAUUUUUAUUUUCUUUUCCACCGGGUACUUAGAUGUAUCAGUUCCCCGGGUUGGCUCCACGCUUUUGGCGUGGUGAUACGUCUUCAACGUAUCAGGUUGUCCCAUUCGGAUAUCUGAGGAUAUAACGCUUGUAUGCAGCUCCCCUCAGCUUUUCGCAGCUUACCACGUCCUUCAUCGCCUAUUAGAUCCAAGGCAUCCACCAUACACCCUUAU